rnacentral:tRNA from 1 species
GCGGAAGUGGCGGAAUUGGUAGACGCACUGGAUUUAGGUUCCAGCGCCGCAAGGUGUGCAGGUUCGAGUCCUGUCUUCCGCA